CUAGGUCCGUCCGUACCUUACCACUUGCAUGAAGAGCAAACUGUAUGUAAACUACUCAUUUCGUACUGACGGCAUUCCUAAAUGGUUCAGCAAUAACAAAGACACACAAAGGUUGGUAGCAUGGAAUCGCACAUGUGGAUUCUCAAUUCCACAGGCGCUAAUAAUAUCAAAUGCUAAGAGAGUUCAAAUAAAACAAUUUGUGUCCAUGCCCAAUGUGCAACAUUAUCGCAUACUUGGCCGCAUUGAGAAAAUAUACGUACGAAGAACACCUAUGGAUUUAUAAAUGCAAGAUGUGCUUUAGGAAAGUUGAAAAUCAGUAUGGUUGAUUUGUCAGUAGUCAAUGCGGAAAAGAAGAUGUGG